rnacentral:rRNA from 1 species
UACAGAGGGUGCGAGCGUUAAUCGGAAUUACUGGGCGUAAAGGGCGCGUAGGCGGCACCGCAAGUCGACUGUGAAAUCUCCGGGCUUAACUCGGAAAGGUCAGCCGAUACUGCGGGGCUAGAGUGCAGAAGGGGCAACUGGAAUUCUCGGUGUAGCGGUGAAAUGCGUAGAUAUCGAGAGGAACACCUGCGGCGAAGGCGGGUUGCUGGGCUGACACUGACGCUGAUGCGCGAAAGCUAGGGGAGCGAACGGG